rnacentral:rRNA from 1 species
UUCGCAAUGCCCGAAAGGGUGACGAAGCGACGCCGCGUGAGCGAAGAAGGCCCUAGGGUUGUAAAGCUCUGUCGGGGGUUAUGAAAUGUAGAUCGGUUAAUACCCGGUUUAUUUGACAAAGGCCCCAAAGGAAGCCACGGCUAACUCUGUGCCAGCAGCCGCGGUAAUACAGAGGUGGCAAGCGUUGUUCGGUAUUAUUGGGCGUAAAGAGCACGUAGGUGGUUUUGUAAGUCAGAUGUGAAAGCCUUCUGUUCAAAGGAAGAACGGCAUCUGAAACUGCGGAUCUUGAGUGUAGGAGGGGAGAGUGGAACUUCUGGUGGAGCGGUGAGAUGCGUAGAUAUCAGAAGGAACGUCGGCGGCGAAAGCGACUCUCUGGCCUAUUACUGACACUGAGUGUGCGAAAGUUAGGGGAGCAAACGGGAUUAGAUACCCCGGUAGUCCUAACUGUAAACGAUGGGCACUAAGUAGAGGGGUUUU